rnacentral:rRNA from 1 species
CCUACGGGCGGCAGCAGUGGGGGAUAUUGCACAAUGGGGGAAACUCUGAUGCAGCGACGCCGCGUGGGCGAAGAAGUAUUUCGGUAUGUAAAGCCCUAACAGCAGGGAAGAAGAAAUGACGGUACCUGAGUAAGAAGCACCGGCUAAAUACGUGCCAGCAGCCGCGGUAAUACGUAUGGUGCACGCGUUAUCCGGAUUUACUGGGUGUAGAGGGAGCGCAGGCGGCACGGCAAGCCUGAUGUGAAAGCCCGCGGCCCAACCGCGGGACUGCAUUGGGAACUACCGGGCUGGAGUGCCGGAGAGGUAGGCGGAAUUCCUAGUGUAGCGGUGAAAUGCGUAGAUAUUAGGAGGAACACCAGUGGCGAAGGCGGCCUACUGGACGGUGACUGACGCUGAGGCUCGAAAGCGUGGGGAGCAAACAGGAUUAGAUACCCGUGUAGUC